rnacentral:rRNA from 1 species
AUUCGAGGAGGUAGUGACUAUCAAUAACGAGACAGAUCUCUUUGAGGUCUGUCAUUGAAAUGAGCACAACUUAAAGACUUUAACGAAGUCUAUGGGAGGGCAAGUCUGGUGCCAGCAGCCGCGGUAAUUCCAGCUCCCAACGUGUAUAUCGUCAUUGCUGCGGUUAAAAAGCUCGUAGUUGGAUCUUAGUUCACGACAGUAGUUCACCUUGUGUGAUACUGCUYGUCUGGACUGUUUCGUCGGUUUUCCUYGGUUUCGGCCUUGGUGRCUGAUGUUGUAACUUUGAUUAAAUCAAUGUGAUUAAAACAGGCGUUUGCUUGAAUGCUUUAUCAUGGAAUAAUAGAAUAUGACUUCGGUCCAUUCUGUUGGUCUUGGGAUUGAAGUAAUGAUUAAAAGGAACAAAUCGGGGGCAUCCGUAUCGCUGCGUGAGAGGUGAAAUUCUUGGACCGCAGCGAGACGACCUAUUGCGAAAGCAUUUGCCAAGAAUGUUUUCAUUAA